rnacentral:tRNA from 1 species
AAGAGGAUUGGUUACAGAACCAGCUGCUAACUGAUUUCUGAAGCGGUUUGACUCCGUUUUCCUCUUA